UACAGAGGGUGCAAGCGUUGUUCGGAAUCAUUGGGCGUAAAGCGCAUGUAGGCGGCUUUCUAAGUCUGGUGUGAAAUCCCGGGGCUUAACCCCGGAAGUGCACUGGAUACUGGAUAGCUAGAGGGCGAGAGAGGAUAGCGGAAUUCCUGGUGUAGGGGUGAAAUCCGUAGAUAUCAGGAGGAACAUCAGUGGCGAAGGCGGCUAUCUGGCUCGUUUCUGACGCUGAGAUGCGAAAGCGUGGGGAGCAAACAGG
rnacentral:rRNA from 1 species